UACGUAGGCAGCAAGCGUUGUUCGGAGUUACUGGGCGUAAAGGGUGCGUAGGCUGCUUUUUAAGUUUGGUGUGAAAUCUCCCGGCUCAACCGGGAGGGUGCGCCGAAUACUGAGAGGCUAGAGUGUGGGAGAGGAAAGUGGGAAUUCCUGGUGUAGCGGUGAAAUGCGUAGAUAUCAGGAGGAACACCGGUGGUGUAAACGGCUUUCUGGACCAUAACUGACGCUGAGGCACGAAAGCGUGGGUAGCAAACAGG
rnacentral:rRNA from 1 species